GAUUAACGCUAGCGGCAGGCCUAAUACAUGCAAGUCGAACGGGAUUAGUUGUAGCAAUACGACUAUGAGAGUGGCGCACGGGUGCGUAACACGUAUGCAACCUACCUAUAACUGGGGGAUAGCCUCCCGAAAGGGAGAUUAACACCGCAUAACAUUAUGAAGUGGCAUCACUUUAUAAUUAAAUCUACGGAGGUUAUAGAUGGGCAUGCGUCCGAUUAGCUAGUUGGUGAGGUAACGGCUCACCAAGGCUCCGAUCGGUAGGGGGUCUGAGAGGAUGAUCCCCCACACUGGUACUGAGACACGGACCAGACUCCUACGGGAGGCAGCAGUAAGGAAUAUUGGACAAUGGGCGCAAGCCUGAUCCAGCCAUGCCGCGUGAAGGAUGAAGGCCCUAUGGGUCGUAAACUUCUUUUAUACGGGACAAAACCCCCCGAUGCGUCGGGGGUUGAUGGUACUGUAAGAAUAAGGGUCGGCUAACUUCGUGCCAGCAGCCGCCGUAAAAC
rnacentral:rRNA from 1 species